rnacentral:rRNA from 1 species
GGGGAAUUUUGGACAAUGGGCGCAAGCCUGAUCCAGCAAUGCCGCGUGCAGGAUGAAGGCCUUCGGGUUGUAAACUGCUUUUGUACGGAGCGAAAAGGCUCUCUUUAAUACAGGGGGCUCAUGACGGUACCGUAAGAAUAAGCACCGGCUAACUACGUGCCAGCAGCCGCGGUAAUACGUAGGGUGCAAGCGUUAAUCGGAAUUACUGGGCGUAAAGCGUGCGCAGGCGGUUUUGUAAGACAGAUGUGAAAUCCCCGGGCUCAACCUGGGACCUGCAUUUGUGACUGCAAGGCUAGAGUACGGUAGAGGGGGAUGGAAUUCCGCGUGUAGCAGUGAAAUGCGUAGAUAUGCGGAGGAACACCGAUGGCGAAGGCAAUCCCCUGGACCUGUACUGACGCUCAUGCACGAAAGCGUGGGGAGCAAAC